UACGAAGGGGGCUAGCGUUGCUCGGAUUGACUGGGCGUAAAGGGCGCGUAGGCGGUUCGUACAGUCAGACGUGAAAUUCCUGGGCUCAACCUGGGGGCUGCGUUUGAUACGUGCGGACUUGAGUGCGGAAGAGGGUCGGUGGAAUUCCCAGUGUAGAGGUGAAAUUCGUAGAUAUUGGGAAGAACACCGGUGGCGAAGGCGGCGACCUGGUCCGGAUACU
rnacentral:rRNA from 1 species